GAUAAUGCCAUAUUCCUUUGGGCGUUCUGUUAUUAAAGCUGGUCAUCGAAUAAUUUUGUCUUUAAUACUAGAUUUUUAGCACUCAUUGGAAAAUCCUAUGUGCCAUUACACAAUACUACGAACAAUCAUUUACAUUAUGACAAAUGGAUCAAUUCCACAGUUCACCAGAUAUUUAACUACGCAUUUUCACGGCAUUUGAUUACCGCGUUGCCACAACUUCUGAACCUUUUUUAUAAGAUUAUAACGACUUUAACCAGUGGUGCAAAUAAACUACUCCAUAAACUUUUCUUUUUAUCUUUCAUAAACCAAG